UACGUAGGGGCCGAGCGUUGUCCGGAAUUACUGGGCGUAAAGUGUGCGCAGGUGGCCGCGCAAGUCGAGUGUGAAAUCCCCGGGCUUAACUUGGGAAUUGCGCUCGAAACUACGUGGCUCGAGUGUGGCAGAGGAAGGUGGAAUUCCACGUGUAGCGGUGAAAUGCGUAGAGAUGUGGAGGAACACCGAUGGCGAAGGCAGCCUUCUGGGCCAACACUGACGCUCAUGCACGAAAGCGUGGGGAGCAAACAGG
rnacentral:rRNA from 1 species